UUCUCAUCUUUUAUGGGAUAGUAAGGUUUUCGUCAGGAUGAACCAGUACUUGUCUCAUUCUCAUCUUUGGUUUGAGAAAAGAAAAAAAAAGUGAAAAACUGAAAUCCCAAAUGCUAGUAGAAGCUUGAGAAUUGACAACACCAAGCACCAUGCAGAUUCUUACAGUCGUUACCAAAGUAAUUUUGAACAAGUUGGUUGAUUUUGUUUCCCAUGAGAUCGGUUUAGCUUGGGGUGCCAAAUAUGAGUUUAUAAAGCUUCAAGACACCUUGGAGAUGAUUCUUUCAGUGAUAGCUGAUGCUGAGAAGAAGCAAGUUAAGGAUGCAGCUGUAAGACUUUGGUUGGCAAGGCUCAGGGACGUUGCGUAUGACGCUGAUGACGUGAUGGAUGACUUCUGCUACGAAACCAUGCGUCGGAGUAAUAGAGGGAACAACUUGACAAGUAAGGUAUUCGAUUUUGCUUCAUCUUCCAACCCACUUGCAUUUCGUUUCAAGAAGGCAAAAAAGAUUAAAAAAAUCAACCAAAGAUUAGAUGUAAUUGCCAAAGAUAUGGGUAGGUUUCAGUUUCUAAUUGCAUCAAGUGAUGCUCCUACACUUCGUAAUGAACACAAGGAGCGGCAAACCACAUCUUUAUUAAACAAUGAGUCAGAAAUUGUAGGAAGGGAUGGUGACAAAAAUGAGUUAAUAAAAUUAUUAACCACGGUCACACCGGUAUCAUCAACCUCAUCUGAUUAUAGAAAUCUUGAAAAGGUUUCUAUCGUUUCAUUAGUGGGGAUGGGGGGGCUCGGGAAGACAACCCUAGCUCAACUUGUCUAUAAAGAUGACCUGGUAAAGACACACUUUGAUCCGAUGAUGUGGGUCUGUGUGUCUGACCAGUUUGAUGUGGAAAACAUCUUAAUAAAAGUUUUGGAGUCCAUUACUGAAGCUGAGAUUAGUAUAACAAAUUUUGAUGUACUGGUGAAAAAAGUUCAUGAUAAGUUAAACCGGCGUAGAUUUUUGCUAGUACUUGACGAUCUGUGGAAUGAGGAUCAAGAGCAAUGGGAAAGACUUUUAUCUCCGUUGCUCGCAGGUGCCCAAGGGAGUAGAAUAUUAAUCACUACACGGAAAGACCAAGUUGCAUCUGUUGUUGGGGGGAGUAUUCCUCCAUUUGUUUUGAAACAGUUACCAGAAGAUGCAUGUUGGUCAAUCAUGGAGCAAAAGGUUUUUUCCAACAACAGAGCACAAAUUACUCCAAAAAUGAUAAAUAUAGGAUAUCAAAUAGUAAGAAGGUGUGGUGGUUUACCACUUGCAGCGAAAUUUCUUGGAAGUCUAAUGCGCUCAAAAAGUAAAGAAAGUGACUGGAUAUCGAUAAGAGAUGAUGAUAUUUGGAACACACCGGAAAGCCACAGCAGAAUCCUUCCUGUACUAAAAUUAAGCUAUGGUAACUUGCCAUCUCAUCUGAAACAAUGUUUUUCUUUUUGCUCAAUCUUUCCCAAUUAUUGGGUAAUAAGUAAAAAAAGUAUAACUGAGCUUUGGAUAGCUGAAGGAUUUGUAAAACCAUCGGAUAUGCAUAACAAAAGAUUGAUGGAAGAUUCUGCAGAUGAAUAUUUCGAAAGUUUGGUGCAGAGCUCCUUUUUCCAUUGUGUUAAUAAGAGCAGCUUAGGUGACAUAGAGAUGUUUACAAUGCAUGAUCUUGUACAUGAUUUAGCACAAGAUGUUGCUGGGGAUCAUGAACUGAGUUCUCUCAAGUUAAGUGAGUUGAAAAAUGUUUCCAAACUUCGUCGUUUACAGCUAACACUAGAUGAACAACUAUCAGCAGCAUCUCUGAAUUCAUUAAGCAGUGCGAAGAAGUUGCGGACUAUCAUUGUACCUGCUCGAAAAUUUGGAUUGCACCCUAAUGUUUUCUCAAGUAAUAAGCAAUUACGUGUGUUACAUGUAGGCAAUCCAACAGGUUAUUCUAAACAUUCAAAGUUAUCUGAUCUGAAUGUCAAGUGCAGACACUUGAGGUAUCUUUACCUUUCCUUUUAUAAUCUCAGUCAAUCUGUGAAUCAUCAGUCAAUCAGUAAACUUUACAAUCUGCAGUCAUUGGUAUUCUUUAACAUGCGUGGUAUCCAGAAUCUUCUUGAAAAUAUUCAACCCUUACAAAAAUUAAGACUUCUUGAUCUUUCCUUCUCAGAUAUAGAAAAAUUACCUGAUUCUGUAACAAGUCUUUGUAAUUUGCGAGCAUUGCAUCUCAGCAAUUGCAAAAAUUUAAAAGCCUUCCCCAACUCUGUCUCUGGUUUGAAAUAUCUUAGAAUUCUUGAUUUGUCGAGAACACCCAUUGAACGAUUACCUGAUUUUGUUAGUAACCUUCAUAAUUUGAAUACAUUGGUUCUCAAUAGUUGCUCUAAGUUAAGAUCCUUACCCGAUUAUGUUACACGUCUUGAUAAGUUGAGUAUAUUUGAUAUAGAAAGAUGUUCAUUGCUAGAAGCAUUACCCACCGAUUUUGGUGCAUUGUCUCAGUUAAGGUCCCUCAACCUGGCUGGCACUAAGAUCAAGAUAUUACCCAAUUCAUGCGCUAACCUCACCAAUCUUGAAUUAUUGCAUCUUUUCUGGUGUGAGCUCCCGAAAGAUGUAAAGAAUUGGACAAAACUGAGGAAGUUUACUUACUUUGGGGAAGGAAUGCCAACGGGUAUAGGUGAACUAGUUAACCUUCGACACCUGACUUACAAUGUGCGGGAAGAAGUCAUCGGCAAGCCUGAAUGUAACAGUUGUAUUGAUGAGUUAGGAAAUCUGAAUUUCCUAGAGAUGUUAUUUAUUUAUGAUCUUCAGAACGUGAAAGAACGGGUUGAUGCCGAGAGAGCGAAUUUGAAGGAGAAGCGGGGCCUUCACAAGUUGCAACUCUGUUGGCAUUUGCCUAAAGGUUCAAAGAUGUGGCUGGACAACGAGUUCUGUAGUCACAGUACUAUGAUAUUAGAAGCUCUCCAACCCCACACUGGAUUGAAAUGGUUGAAUAUAUUUAACUUCGUUGGAUGUGAACUUCCCAUGUGGAUGUGUAUUCCAUCUUGUCUUCCAAAUUUGGAAAGACUGGAACUUAGUAACUGCCAUGGGAUGAAAGAACUUCCUGCUGCUAUCGGGGAACUUCCACGUCUUACUCAUCUCCGGCUUGAAAACAUGCGUUUAAGGAGUUCAGAUGUCUAUUUUCCUUUAUUAACUAGACUCGAUCUUACUGAUAUGUUCCUACUUGAAAAAUUGCAUUAUUCCUAUCCUUCUCUUAAGGAAUUGGUUUUAUGGGGUACGGACUUCAAGUUUUUAAGGUCAGUUGAGAGAAGUCAGAUCAGCUCUCUGACUACCCUUCGGUUAGACAAUGUUGUGGAGCUUGUAGUCUUUCCAAAACGGAUACUCCAAAACAAUUGUAGCCUCCGGUAUCUGAUAUUUCGAAACUGCAAUCAGUUGCAAGGAUUUUGCGCAACUGAUGAUGAUAAUUACAGGGAGGUUGCACUGUUUGACCCUGAAUUCCUGGGUAGCUCUCUUCAGGAAUUGGACUUUGCAAAUUGUCCAGUUCUCCGUUAUCUGCCAGAUUUACGAGGAUGGACUUCCCUUCGGCUAUUAAGCAUCUUCAAUUGCUCCCAACUGAAGGAAUCAAUCACCUAUGAUCUGAAAUCCCUUUCCUUUCUGGAAAUUCUCAAUGUUGAUUAUAUUCAAAGAGAGGGGCAGCUUGGAGAUCCAUGUGAUGAAUAUGAUAUGAUUAAUUUGAUGGACAACAUGUAAAUGAGGUUUCUCAUAUGAUUUCCUUUAACUAGUUGAAUAGCAUUGGGAAGCAGUGGAACUGUAAAAGGCUUAAAGCAGAGGCCGGAAUUGGGUAUAGAAAAAAAUUCACCGCCUUUAAGGAUGAAAUGUGUAAGAUCGAUACUGGGUUGGGGAAAACGCGACAUGAAAAUUAAUCUGGAUGACAUUUGAAUGCUACUUCUGGUGUUGAUUACCUGUAUUUGUGUAUUCUAUCGUCUGCAGUUUCGUCAAGCAAGGACUUUCUGCAUUCGAUAACAGAUCCUGGAACCCAUGUACCAACAUACUUCUGCAACUAUGCAAAGAAAGGUUCAGGAAUUGUGUUAUCAAGGCAUAGAGAAUUUCAUCCGUUUUUUUUUUCCUGUUCCAGGAUUUGGGCUGUCAAAGUUCAGGGUGACUUCAUUAAUAUGCAAAAUUUCCAAGCAGGGGAUCUUUUCAUUGCUUAUAGAGAAGAGAAUUCUGGAAAACAUGUAAGUCGUCUCUCUCUGAGCCUCCUGCUUUAUAACAUCUACUGGAGGAAACAUAAGUUCUUUGAUAAAGAUCCACUCGUUGAAUCAUAACGAUCUCAUAUGGACGUUUAGUAGUCCGUAGAGUUAAAGUAACCCAUGUUGAACCAAACGACUGUACAUUUAAGAAACAUAAAACAUAAAACCCUUUCUUGUCAUCUCCCAAACAAAAUUUACGGGCCUUGCCUAUAUUUUGCUUGUGUUCUGAAUUCUUAUCUGUGUGCUUAUAUUCUUGUUUGAAGCUUGGUGGUAGGUCAUUGACAUUUAUGUUUCAACGAUGGGACUUUUGGAUUUUGAAACUUGUUUAGUUGUGAUAUAUACCCAUGUUAAAAAUGUUGAUGCGGACAGUACUUGCUGCAAUUGUUUCCCGUGUGCAUUUAAUUCCCCUAUCAGAACCUCAGUAUCCGGCCUUCUCUUGUACUUACUAAGGAGCUUGCUUGGUUUAAUUCCCCAACUUGUUCUUACUUCUUCGAACUUGUGCGGUUUCAACUUGGCUACUUGACAAUGCCCAACAAGAGUUUCCGGAUUUUUAUGGUUAUGCCAACCAAUAUCAAUUAUAUUCAUUCUCCACAUGUCAUUGGUUGCUUUGUUCCUCCAAAAUAUAAUCUUGAAUGGGCAUCCACACUUCUUUGACUUCGUCUUGUACACCCAGUCGUCUUCUUAUCAUACACAUAACCCUUGCUCUUGUGACUUGCGUCCGGCGACCCAUAACCCUCGCAUACCAUUUCAAACCGCAUAUCUUUUUGUUGGGUAUUUUUCACUAGAACGCACGUCUUCUCUUUUGCUUUCUCAACGACCCACUUGACCGCGUCGUCUUUUUCCUUUCAUUCUAAAUCAUUAGCGCAAUGUGCGGAAGUAUCAGGACCCCUAAUAUUGUGAUCUUGAGGCUGAUCCGUCAUCGGUACCAAUGCAACAAUAUACAAAACAUCAAAAUUUAGUUGAUAUGUAUUACCAAAGUCGGCAGGAUCGACAUAUAAAACUAUGCCGACUACAAAAUAGCCGGCAUGGCAUAAAAAAAUUUAACAGUGCCGACCGAACUGUAUUCCGCAAGGUCCAAAAAGAUUAAGAUGCCGGCGUAAGCAUUUUCAAGUCGCGACUUCUAUGCUGCAAAAAACUGGAAGUCGGCAUAUGGUUCAAAUUUUCUACCUCACCGACACGGAUACUGUUCAUGAAAAGUCGGCACGUUGUUCAAAUAUAAACUACGCCGGCGCUUAGGUCGACAUGAUCGACAAGCGUCGACCUUGCCGAUCCUGGGAAGCUAAAGUGAGAAAA